rnacentral:rRNA from 14 species
GAAUAGGGCGAUAUGUUGCAGGGGGUAGACCCGAAGCGGAGGUGACCUACCCAUGGCCAGGUUGAAGCGGGAGUAAAAUCUCGUGGAGGACCGAACCCGUUCAGGUUGAAAACUGUUGGGAUGAGCUGUGGGUUGGAGUGAAAGGCUAAUCAAACCCCGUGAUAGCUGGUUCUCCUCGAAAUGCAUUUAGGUGCAGCGUCGCGUGCUGAUGAGUGGGGGUAGAGCACUGUUUGAGCUAGGGCCCAUACCCGGGUACCAACCUCAUACAAACUCCGAAUACCAUUCAAUGGAGCGCGGCAGUGAGACUGCGGGAGAUAAGUUUCGUAGUCGAAAGGGCAACAGCCCAGACCAGCAGCUAAGGCGCCUAAAUACCGCUCAGUGGAAAGGAUGUGGGAUUACUAAGACAGUGAGGA